rnacentral:rRNA from 1 species
GUUGUUCGGAAUUACUGGGCGGAAAGGGCUCGUAGGCGGCCAACUAAGUCAGACGUGAAAUCCCUCGGCUUAACCGGGGAACUGCGUCUGAUACUGGAUGGCUUGAGUUUGGGAGAGGGAUGCGGAAUUCCAGGUGUAGCGGUGAAAUGCGUAGAUAUCUGGAGGAACACCGGUGGCGAAGGCGGCAUCCUGGACCAACACUGACGCUGAGUGAGCGAAAGCCAGGGGAGCAAACGGG